GAGCUGAACUGAACUGAAUGAACUGAAUUUCAACGGAAGAAAAUAGACCCUUACUCACGUGACUCAGCAAUGCCAAAAAAAAAAAAGGGGGGGGGGGAUUUAAACGCGUGAAGAAAGAAGCGAAUAGCCAAACUCAUCACAAGUCACAACCCACCUAACUCCCUCUCUCACAUCAACCAGCCGACCAAACACCCCCAAAUCAAAUUUCCCACUCUCACUUCUGUUCUUCUCUUGCAAAUUUCAUCAAUUUCUUCUCAUUGUACUUAGCUUUCACAUGGUGACUCACAGGAGCAUACAAAUACAAAUAAUUUGUGGGAAUUGGAAAAUAAAAGGAAAGAAAAAAAAUGGAAGGAAAGACAAUGAAGAAACUUAUUUUGGUGCAAAUCGCGUCGAGGCAGAAGUCUGAUUAUUACAUUGUAGAUUUGGAAGCAAAGAAAAUAGAGAGAGCUCCUUUUGAAAUCCUGAUAAAUCCUUUAGCAACCAUGAUAAAUGAAGAUGGAGAAGGUAGCACACUGUCCUCUAUACCGUGGGCGGUAAAAUAUCAACAGAUUAUUUUUGUCAUAAGACAACACAUGUAGACCACUUGGGCGCUUCUUGUUUAGAAUUGAACAUACCUCAUCUACUCUCAUUGAUGAAAGGAGAAGAGCUACAAGCUGAUGAGGAUUUUUUAAAAUUAGGGUCUAAUUAUAAUAAGUGGAAGCCUAUCCCUGCUAUGCAUUAUGGCCGCAAAUUUGCAAUGAGUGCUCCCCUGGGGGGUAGAAUAUAUGUAUUGGGAGGCGCAGUACCAUGUUCUUGUGUAGGCGAGGUGUUUAUUCCCCAAUAGCGCAAGUGGAAACCCUUGGCUCCACCACCCUCCAAUCUUCAUCUGGAGUGGAAGUGUGUGUCUUAUCCAGUGAUUCCUGAUGAAAAGAAUGAGCGGAUUCUUGUGCAUUUUCGUAAAGAUGAUUCCCUCUAUUCAUAUUAUCCUGCUACUCAAGAAUGGGAUUGCUUGGCCAAGAAUUUCAGGUGCUGGAAGAAACCCGCAGCUUUGGCUGAUGAUGUUCUUUACAUUCAACUUAGAGGGAAGUGUGAUUUCCUUGUUGCCUAUGAUUUGUUAACCAAAGUGUGGUUGGACGUUAAGUAUUCCUCUAACUUUACAGUUGAUAUUCGCAAUUUUAAAUUCUUGAACAUGCUUUAUCUGGGCAAUGGCGCCUUGUGCUUGGCCCACUGCGUCCCCUUUUAUGACGCUCCUUCGCGUCAAACUAAUCUCCAGUUCAUCAAAUUUAGAGUUGAGCGCCUCUCUCCAAGAGUGGUGCGUGUCAGUCCUGUUGCUGUGCACUGCUUUCCAUUUGAAGGUUACGUGAGAGCCUCACGCCCCAUCCUGCUCUAGGUAAUUCUACUUUAUCAACCAUAUUACUGCUACUUGCAUAACACUACUUAUAUAUUACACUUGCUAUAUAUAUAGUUGUGGAUCUGUGUCCUUUGGUUGCGGUUCCCCUAGUUGUUAACGAUGUAUAGUUCGAUCGUAAAAUGUGUUGUUUGGUGUGCUGUUAUGAGAAGUUUCUGAAUUAACAUCUUACCUGAUUUGAGAAUUCUAAUUCAGCCCAAUACCCUCUAUGAUGAAUUGAAUACAUUUGCUUUGAUUUGAACCUUAAAUUGAAUAUUGGAAUUAGAUGCCUAAAUUUUUAUUAUUGUUAAAUAGAAGUAUAAUUUGGACAUUUGGAUCUUUAAUGUGAUUGAGAAGCAUCAAAGAUUAUGUCGACCUCCCAAUUGUUGGCGGUGGUGAGAGGAAAGAUGACAGUGAAUCUGAAGGUUAGAAAGGAAGUUCCAAUUUCAAUUUUUCUAUUUUUGGAUUUAAAAGCCAAAAUACUUCCCAAACAACACAAUGAAUUUGGAACCACACAUUUAAAUUCUUAAGACUUUUCCAAACAAAUUAUUUGAAGUAGAAUAUUGGAAUUUCAAUUUUCAGAAUUGAAAUUAUGGAAUUGAAAAAAAAUCAAUCAUCCCAAGCACUGCCUUAGGUUUUUUGUGCAUUUUGUUUUGUCAAGUGGUGUUCAUUAGACAAUUCUAGAUUAAGCUAAUACACUAAAGUGUGGUUGCAUAGUAUGGAAUGUGGACUGAAUAACAUUUUUCAAGUCAGUCUGUUUGUUUAAUAUUGGUACUUGUUGAAAUUAUCGAGUAGUGAUAUUGUGUGAUUUUUUGUUUCCCUUUACUUUAGGAGGACGACAUUCUCAAAUUAGCAAAUGAGUUUGGAUUAAACAUAUUUAAAGAAACUUCAUUACAUGCUAUAAUCUUAAAUAUAUUACAGUGGGUGAGAAACAAUUUCAAAAGAUUCAACAUUUGUUGGAUAUUGAUUGUUUUUUUUAAAAAAAUAACUGGAAAGGCACACGGCUCUAUAAGUCUCCCUAUCAUAGAGAUAGAUCAUUAGAGAAGCUAAUUGUCCCCCCAGCUCAUGGUAGUUAUGCUUACUUGUCAUCAAAUUCUUUUAGUUAAAGUAAAAAUGUUUUUCUUUGCAGGGAUCUCUGUUGAUGGAUAAAGUCGUUGAAGAUUUAUCAUAAGGCUUAUUUUCUGUUUAUUCAUAUUUCUGUUUUGUGUUCUGUUGCAGUUAUGCAUUGCAAUUACAUUGCAACACAUCCAUGGCUGCAGAGGUUUUUUUUUUUUCCUUUAAUUCGGUUGUUCCGAUUAUCUUUUUAUUCCGUUUCAUUUUUUUUAUUUAUAGUUUCCGUUUCAACUUUUCAAUGACUUGUUUAAUGUAUUACUGAGUAAUUUAUGUGUAUCUUAAACCUGUCAACUUUAAAUAUGAUUUUUUAUUUUA